GCUGAACCAACAACCACAACCAAAGCUCAAUCAACAACAACCUCAGACACAACCCAGACAGUUUUUGUUAGUUUUUCCAGCAGUGAAAAUUUUGUCUCUGAUCUGUCAAAUCCAGCUUCAGAAGCAUAUAAAAACAGAGAAAAGAAAGUCAAAGAUACGUUGACACCACUCUUUACAAAAGCAUUGCCCUCCUUCAAAGGACUGGCAGUUAUUCGGUUCCGUCCGGGGUCAAUCAUCACUGAUAUGAAUGUGACAUUUGGAACCUUACCCAGUGAUGCGGGGAUCGAAAACACUAUUAUGGAAGCUAACGCCACUCUCAAUAUCACCAGUGUAACACUAAGGAAGCCCUUCACCACAACUACCAAAGCCACUACAACCAGUUCCACUACAACUACAACUACAACCACACCUACAACAACAGCAGCAGCAACAACAACAACCACAACAUCUACAGCCAAUCCUAAAACAACAGCAUCAACAGCAACCACAACAUCUACAGCCAAUCCUAAUACAACAGCAGCAAAAACAGCAACCACAACAUCUACAGCCAA